UCGAAGAUCGAUGGAACCUGCCACCGCAGUGCGCAUUACGAAAAUGAAUGGAUUUUAGUAGCGAGCCUGCGCACUCAAAGCUAAUAGAAUCAGUUUAUUACGGAUUGUCUACAGGGUCGUCGCUUCCCUGUACAGCACCCAUGAAACGGGUACAUCUAACGCGAGAGCCGCGAUAGCGUAUAGGAAGUAAGUUCACCAUGCACCGUAUUUCAUCACUUCUCACCUAUGGAAGAGGUAGAUACAGACUUUAAACAAAAGAAAGAAUACUUCCUCGCCUGUAUGCAGAAAAUUGUGUACGUUCUCUGCCUUAUUUCUUCUUAAUAUCUCGCAAAGAGUCUGCGAUAAUCAGACAAACCGGAGAUGUCAAAAUAUCAAUGGAACGGAUUAAAAAAUGGGCAAAACCAUAUUUCAUAUAAAUGAUUCGAGCAGAGAGAGAAAUAUGUAGUGAGAAUAAGAAUUGUAGAGGCCAGGAGAUAAGAGACAGCCCAAAUAAUAUUAAUUGGUAUCAUUCUUUUGGUUACUCCGUCGAUCAAUGUUCUUCGACAGCUUCGCCGAUUUAUUAACGCGAUGCCUAUAAGCACGCGACACAUAUUUUUAUUGACAGGACACCUUAAAGGAUUUUACCUAGCAGAGAUGAUGAAUAUUGAAAGUGUUCGACUGCGCUUUGACCUUCGUCGCGUUCAUCUUCAGCUCAGCUUCAAAUUUUCUGUCCUCUCAACGUCCAUAGUUGCGCCUCUGAUAUGAAUAAAAGAUGCGUGCUCUGACAUUAUAGCACGCAAAUCCUACUCACCGAACUUUCUGUCUCGCGGGUGGGUGUGGAAACAGGCAUAAUAAUACAUCAUUUUAAAAAGUUGAAGUUUCGUCGUGUCAACGCACGUUUUAACAUCAUUUAACCAUAUGGGGAUCGUUAAAAAUCAAUUAAUAAAUGAAUCAUGACUUAUAAGAAUAAAGUAGAAUUAUUAUUAUUUACAUAUACUUUUGAAGUUGAAAUAAUGAAA